rnacentral:tRNA from 1 species
UCCCUGGAGGAUUAGUGGUUACGCCUCCGCGCUCUCACCACUGCGGCUUGGGUUCGAUUUCUGGCCAGGGAG